CACUCCGUUUAGAAGAAGGGAGGUUCCGUUUAAAUAUUCGGAAAGGAUUUUUUUCCUUCAUUGUGUGAGUUUGCCCUGCACUGUCUGUUUCCACCAUGGUUAGGUGCCUAAAGCUACCUGGCCCUGUCAAGGAGCCCUUGUCAUCUCCUGGCUUGUGCUCUUCUCCUGUGGCCUGGUUGAGCACAAUGCUUCGCCUGGGACAUCGAGUCUUGGCUUCCUCCUCCUGGCAAGACUCUGGGACCUUCUCUGCCCUCUUUCUAGGGGAGCUGUUGUAAGUGCCCCAUCUUGAACAAGAGGUGUUUGAAGAUGGUCGGAUACCGUUGUAGUUCUGACAAUAAAUGAUGCCCACUGCCAAACUGGCAGCAUUGCUGCCAUGAAGGGCCGAGCAGCUUCGUGAAACCCAUGCCUUUGGGUUCCGGAGAGAGUAUGGUUGCAAAGCUGUGAUGGAUGGAAGGGCACAAUCAGGAGUGGAGUCUUUAAUUUGACAGAACACGGGAAACCUCACCCUAAUGUUGAAGAUCUCCCUGCCCUUUGUAUACACCGCCUGUUGUUUCCACCAAUUGUAGGGUUUGUGAGGUCCUUUGGAAGGCCCAGCUGAGGUUGGUUAUGGCCCUGGCUGAGUGCUUACGAGACCCACAAACAUGGCUACCUAGGGGAAGUAAAUGUUAUGCCUCUAUAUGAGCGUAC
rnacentral:ncRNA from 1 species